UACGUAGGUGGCAAGCGUUGUCCGGAUUUACUGGGCGUAAAGAGCGCGCAGGCGGUCGUUCAAGUCGCGUGUGAAAGCCCCCGGCUCAACUGGGGAGGGUCACGCGAUACUGAUCGACUCGAAGGCAGGAGAGGGUAGUGGAAUUCCCGGUGUAGUGGUGAAAUGCGUAGAUAUCUGCAGGAACACCCGUGGCGAAAGCGGCGCGCUGGACCACUACUGACGCUGAGGAACGAAAGCUAGGGGAGCAAACAGG
rnacentral:rRNA from 1 species